CCUACGGGUGGCUGCAGUGAGGAAUAUUGGUCAAUGGACGGAAGUCUGAACCAGCCAUGCCGCGUGCAGGAAGACGGCUCUAUGAGUUGUAAACUGCUUGUGUACAAGGGUAAACCUGAAUACGUGUAUUCAGCUGAAAGUACUGUACGAAUAAGGAUCGGCUAACUCCGUGCCAGCAGCCGCGGUAAUACGGAGGAUCCAAGCGUUAUCCGGAGUUAUUGGGUUUAAAGGGUGCGUAGGCGGAUUGAUAAGUUAGAGGUGAAAUGUCCGAGCUUAACUCGGGAACUGCCUCUGAUACUGUUUAUCUAGAGUGUAGAUGCGGUAGGCGGAAUGUAUUUUGUAGCGGUUACAUGCUUAGCGAUCAUCCAGAACACCGAUUGCGAAGGCAGCUUACCAAUCUAUAUCUGACGUUGAGGCACGAAAGCGUGGGGAGCAAACAGGAUUAGAUACCCUAGUAGUC
rnacentral:rRNA from 1 species